UCAACCAAGAAGCCUUGAUGGAUGCUCUAAAGCAUAUACUGAUCAGCAAAAUAUUUGUGAUUGAUUAGUAUGAAUGCUUCAAAAUGAAGUCACACUUAGUAAUAAAAUGAAGUGAUACA